rnacentral:rRNA from 1 species
AUAGCCCAGCACCGAAUCCUUCAUCAUUCCGGUGACAGGAAAUGUGGUGUUUAGGCCGUACUUUGUGCUGAUACUACUCUCCUCAAGUCCACUUGAUUGUGGCCCCAGGCCCAGAGAGGGUGUAAGGCCCGUGGAGGCGAGCGGUUCAGUACCUGGUGCGUCCUUAGAGUCGGGUUGUUUGGGAAUGCAGCCCUAAGCGGGUGGUAAACUCCAUCCAAGGCUAAAUACCAGCACGAGUCCGAUAGCGAAGAAGUACCGCGAGGGAAGGUUGAAAAGAACUUUGAAGAGAGAGUUCAAGAGUACGUGAAACCGCUGAGAGGCAAACUGGUGGAACUGAAAUGGUCUCGAGGAAUUCAGCCGUUGGUGGAUUCAUGCUCGGCGGUGUCUGAUCGCAAGACAGCGCUGUCGGGCGACGUUUUUAUCAUAGGUGCACUUUCCUCGUAGGCCCGACCACGACCGGUGAGCUGUUUCGUCCAUCGUGCUUGGAAGGUAGCGCCGUCUUCGGAAGGCGUGUUAUAGACAGGCGCAUGGGCCGAUCGGCGCACUGGAUGAUAAUGCCUGCCCAUUAGGGCUCACAUGUCGGUUGUUCUGUUGGCGAGUUCUGGCGACUCUACUUCGGUAGAGUUGUUAGACUCUGUCGGCUCUACGGUUGGCCUCUGUGAUUGGCAUUGGUAAGUCUGUGGUUGUGAAGUAGGUAGUCCACCUGACCCGUCUUGAAACACGGACCAAGGAGUCUAACAUGUGCGCGAGUCAUUGGGUUUACGAAACCUAAAGGCGCAGUGAAGGUAAAGAUCUGCUUUUGGUAGAUUGAGGUGGGAUGCUGGGUUACGUGCCCGGCCGCACUACCGGCCCGUUCUACAUGUAUCUCAUGGGGGCGGAGCUAGAGCGUACACGUUGGAACCCGAAAGAUGGUGAACUAUGCUUGCG